GUGAAUCAUCGAAUCUUUGAACGCAAAUUGCACUCCUGUCGGUGAGUAUGACUGUUUGAGGGUCAGCCUCAAAAAAAUCGACAUAGUUGCUGUUUCGCGGUCACAUUCGUCGGAAAUUGGGUCAUCUUAAACUUUUGGGGUUAAGCGGCUUAAAAUUUUCUUUAAGAUUCCAAGAUCGUCUCUACGAUUUUAUUUUCUUAUACUUUUAUGGUAUCGGUCUUUAUUAGAC
rnacentral:misc_RNA from 1 species